UUAACUGAAGCCAAAUAGAGGCUGCUUAUUGUUAAUAAGCUAAUUGAAAUUUUCCAGUUGCU
rnacentral:tRNA from 1 species